UACGUAGGUGGCGAGCGUUGUCCGGAUUUACUGGGCGUAAAGGGAGCGUAGGCGGACUUUUAAGUGAGAUGUGAAAUACUCGGGCUCAACUUGAGUGCUGCAUUUCAAACUGGAAGUCUAGAGUGCAGGAGAGGAGAAUGGAAUUCCUAGUGUAGCGGUGAAAUGCGUAGAGAUUAGGAAGAACACCAGUGGCUAAGGCGAUUCUCUGGACUGUAACUGACGCUGAGGCUCGAAAGCGUGGGGAGCAAACAGG
rnacentral:rRNA from 1 species